rnacentral:rRNA from 1 species
GCGGGAGCCUGAUCCAGCCAUGCCGCGUGCAGGAUGACGGCCCUAUGGGUUGUAAACUGCUUUUAUACGGGAAGAAACGCGCCCACGUGUGGGCGUUUGACGGUACCGUAAGAAUAAGGACCGGCUAACUCCGUGCCAGCAGCCGCGGUAAUACGGAGGGUCCGAGCGUUAUCCGGAAUCAUUGGGUUUAAAGGGUCCGUAGGCGGGCCUGUAAGUCAGGGGUGAAAGUUUGUGGCUCAACCAUAAAAUUGCCUUUGAUACUGCAGGUCUUGAGUCAUGGUGGGGUUGCCGGAACAUGUGGUGUAGCGGUGAAAUGCAUAGAUAUCACAUAGAACACCGAUCGCGAAGGCAGGUGACCAACCAUGUACUGACGCUGAUGGACGAAAGCGUGGGUAGCGAACGGGAUUAGAUACCCCGGUAGUCCACGCCGUAAACGAUGGAUACUAGCUGUGGGGACUUCGGUCUCCGUGGCCAAGCGAAAGUGAUAAGUAUCCCACCUGGGGAGUACGUUCGCAAGAAUGAAACUCAAA